rnacentral:sRNA from 1 species
CCACUCCCACUCCUCCCAAGGAAACACGCCCUAAACUGCCACCGAAUGAAGCCUGCUCUCUUUAGCGUCCUGUGUGAAAUCAAGGAGAAAACCGGUAUGUGGGCCCCCCCCCGGAUUGCUCAACUCUGGGAACAGAACCCUGUUCAUUAUAGGGCUAGAGUGUGACAACUUGGGGCCCUGAGGAAAGUAAGGAAUCAGGGGGACUGGGGAAGGAACCAAAGCCUGGGAACUUGGCUCUCCAGGAAGCACCAGGAGGACUGAGCACUGGGUAUCGGGGUCUCUGGGUCCCUAAGUCCACUCGCCUGCAUGCUAGGCCUCAGCAUUCGGAGCUCCCAGGAGGAGGAGCCGGUGGACCCACAGCUGAUGCGCUUGGACAACAUGCUUCUGGCAGAGGGUGUGGCUGGGCCCGAGAAAGGGGGCGGCUCAGCAGCAGCAGCUGCAGCCGCUGCAGCCUCUGGUGGUGGCGUGUCCCCUGACAACUCCAUCGAACACUCGGACUAUCGCAGCAAACUUGCCCAGAUCCGUCACAUAUACCACUCGGAGCUGGAGAAGUAUGAGCAGGCAUGUAAUGAGUUCACGACCCAUGUCAUGAACCUGCUGAGGGAGCAGAGCCGCACCAGGCCCGUGGCCCCCAAAGAGAUGGAACGCAUGGUGAGCAUCAUCCAUCGAAAGUUCAGCGCCAUCCAGAUGCAGCUGAAGCAGAGCACCUGCGAGGCUGUGAUGAUCCUGCGCUCCCGUUUCCUGGAUGCCAGACGAAAGCGCCGUAACUUCAGCAAACAGGCCACUGAGGUCCUAAAUGAGUAUUUCUACUCCCACCUGAGUAACCCAUAUCCUAGUGAGGAGGCCAAGGAGGAGCUUGCCAAGAAGUGUGGCAUCACCGUGUCUCAGGUCUCCAACUGGUUUGGCAACAAGAGGAUUCGCUAUAAGAAAAACAUCGGAAAGUUCCAAGAGGAGGCAAACAUCUAUGCUGUCAAGACCGCCGUGUCAGUCACCCAGGGGGGCCACAGCCGCACCAGCUCCCCGACACCCCCUUCCUCUGCAGGUGGAUCCC